GAUGAACGCUGGCGGCGUGCCUAAUACAUGCAAGUCGAGCGAACAGACGAGGAGCUUGCUCCUCUGACGUUAGCGGCGGACGGGCGAGUAACAAGUGGAUAACCUACCUAUAAGACUGGGAUAACUAAGGGAAACCGGAGCUAAUACCGGCUAAUAUAUUGAACCGCAUGGUUCAAUAGUGAAAGACGGUUUUGCUGUCACUUAUAGAUGGAUCCGCGCCGUAUUAGCUAGUUGGUAAGGUAACGGCUAACCAAGGCAACGAUGCGUAGCCGAACGGAGAGUUUGACCCCACAGAAUGGGAAUGAGACCCCGACCAGACACGGGGGGGAGGAAGGAGUGAGGAACAGGAGGGGGCGAGCGAGAGACGGAACCAGCCCAGGGGAGUGAAGGAGGUCUGUGUUAUGGAAAGUCUUCUUAUUUUGGAAGAAAAAAUGUUGAGUAAACUGUGACUCCCUGAAGGUACCGUAUGAAGAAGCCCCGGCUAACUUCGUG
rnacentral:rRNA from 1 species